AUUCAACCAAAUUUGACUAAAUAAUCUAUUUUCAUUUAUCGUCCAAGAUUAAUCCUUCGAAUAGAGAAUUUGACAAUCAUGUACUUGGUAUUUUUCACAAGCUGUAUAAUAUUUCUCUACAGAAAAUAAAUUUGGUUGAAUUGACUUUGGAAAGGAAAUUAACCGAGAAAUCAGAUGAUUAAAUUUAAUGUGUAAUUUUUAACCGUGAAUAUAUCAUACUCGAUCACGUAACCAAUAUAUUAAAAAAGAUGGCAUACCUUUUUUUCGUUCUUAUAUGAAUGUUUUCUUCAUAAUGACACGUUUAAUACAAAUACAUUUUACCAUUUUAGAUUACUAAAUAUUAUACACAAUAUGAUCUUUGCCUGAUAUUUCAUAUAUGUUUACAUUGUCUGAGAUAAUUGAGUUGUGCAUAAUUAAAAUUGAAAAAACCGCGAAUGUUAGCAUAUCAUCUUUUUUAAGGUUCUUUUUAAACUUUCUGAAUAUGCAGUUCUUUCACAUUUUAUGUGUUGUUAUCUUGCAUUAAGCAUAAAUAAUAUGUACAUUUGUACGUGUAUAAAAGCAGCUUUGCUGCUCCUCUUAAAUAAAAUGUUUUACGAAAUC
rnacentral:misc_RNA from 1 species